GCCUACGGGAGGCAGCAGUGGGGAAUAUUGGACAAUGGGGGGAACCCUGAUCCAGCGACGCCGCGUGAGUGAAGAAGUAUCUCGGUACGUAAAGCUCUAUCAGCAGGGAAGAAAAAAAGUCUUUGGCUUUGGACGGUACCUGACUAAGAAGCCCCGGCUAACUACGUGCCAGCAGCCGCGGUAAUACGUAGGGGGCAAGCGUUAUCCGGAUUUACUGGGUGUAAAGGGAGCGUAGACGGCAGCGCAAGUCUGGAGUGAAAUGCCGGGGCUCAACCCCGGAACUGCUUUGGAAACUGUGCAGCUAG
rnacentral:rRNA from 1 species